GUAACACGUGAGCAACCUGCCUYUGAGAGAGGGAUAGUUUCUGGAAACGGAUGGUAAUACCUCAUAACAUAACGAAGCCGCAUGACUUUGUUAUCAAAGAUUUAUCAYUCAGAGAUGGGCUCGYGUCUGAUUAGAUAGUUGGUGAGGUWACGGCCCACCAAGUCGACGAUCAGUAGCCGGACUGAGAGGUUGAACGGCCACAUUGGGAYUGAGACACGGCCCAGACUCCUACGGGAGGCAGCAGUGGGGAAUAUUGCACAAUGGGGGAAACCCUGAUGCAGYGAUGCSGCGUGGAGGAAGAAGGUUUUCGGAUUGUAAACUCCUGUCUUAAAGGACGAUAAUGACGGUACU
rnacentral:rRNA from 1 species